CCUGAUGAUAUUUACCAGUGCCUUGUUAGAGAGUGCCUAUUAACUCUGUGCCAUGUUCCCUCUGACAUGGUAUGUUCUGGAUAAGUUGCUGGGUAAUGGCAGCAGUUCCUGAGCUGCACUUUCUAUAAUCUAGUGAGCCACCACGAUGAACAGUUCUGAAGGAGAUAGAAGAGAUCCACCUUCCCUGUGCUUCCCAUCACUGGCUAAUAAUCUUGUGCUUUCUGUACCCUGUGACAAUGCAGCAGUCACCCUUCACCAGUGAAAUGAUGAGGCAGUGCCUUUCUGCAGUGUACACAUUGUGAGGUUCGUGUCAUAUCCACUGUGGACAGUACCGGAGAAGAUGACCUUGGCUGAUGAUAGGUGCAGGCAUUAAUGACAAGCUCCAGGAAGGAGGUCGCAAACUUGCCAAUUCCCAGAAGAAACAUUGUUGCCAAAGCAACUGAGAUGACCGGGCGCGGGAGAUACCGGACAUGCUUGUCAGGUUGCUUGAUGUCAGCGCUAUCCUUUGAGUUCGCCCCGCGGAAAGCACGGGCAAAUGGUUCCUGCCACACGCUUGGAAAGUUCCUGGUUCCACAGAGCUUUGUCUGUGCUUCUUGGUGACUGCUUUUGGAUUUAGUGAGCGUGUUUCCUGGACAAAAAGACAUGUGUUGCUUUGUAAAGUUGUGCUUCCAUGCUGUCUGGUUAACUCCAGACCUAUUUCCACGGGAAAACGUUUCAUCACUUGGGUGCCUUUGCUGGGUUGUCUCGUGUAGUCCUUGAUCCCAGAGUGCCAAGUGGCUCAAGGCGGGACACGGCCCUCAGGCUACGGCUAAGCAGUAUCGAACUGCCUUAGCAGAUGGGUGGCGGGUCUCGGGGAGCCGCGACACACGUCAGCGAGGGAGAAAAGACCCCGAACAAAGCGCAGGUCUGUC